rnacentral:rRNA from 1 species
GGAUUAGAUACCCUGGUAGUCCACGCCCUAAACGAUGAGUACUAAACGUUGGAUAAAACCAGUGUUGAAGUUAACACAUUAAGUACUCCGCCUGAGUAGUACGUACGCAAGUAUGAAACUUAAAGGAAUUGACGGGACUCCGCACAAGCGGUGGAUCAUGUUGUUUAAUUCGAAGGUACCCGAAAAACCUCACCAGGUCUUGACAUGCUUUUGCAAAGCUGUAGAAAUACAGUGGAGGUUAUCAGAAGCACAGGUGGUGCAUGGUUGUCGUCAGCUCGUGUCGUGAGAUGUUGGGUUAAGUCCCGCAACGAGCGCAACCCUUGUUGUUAAUUGCCAUCAUUAAGUUGGGGACUUUAGCAAGACUGCCAAUGAUAAAUUGGAGGAAGGUGGGGACGACGUCAAAUCAUCAUGCCCCUUAUGACCUGGGCUACAAACGUGAUACAAUGG